AUUUUAGAACUGAAGGUAACAUUUUUUCCUAGUCUGUUACAAAAUAGGAGGUCGGUGUUCUUGUAAACUUCAGACUUUUUUUUAGCUUCUUCUGAUGGACCAAUUACCAUUGAGUCUGCA